rnacentral:rRNA from 1 species
GCUCUUCCGGAGUCCGAGUUGUAAUUUGUAGAAGAUGCUUUGGGUGGUGGGUUCGGCCUAAGUUCCUUGGAACAGGGCGUCAUAGAGGGUGAGAAUCCCGUAUGUGGCCGAGGCCCGCGCCUAUGUAAAGCUCUUUCAACGAGUCGAGUUGUUUGGGAAUGCAGCUCAAAAUGGGUGGUAAAUUUCAUCUAAAGCUAAAUAUGGGCCAGAGACCGAUAGCGCACAAGUAGAGUGAUCGAAAGAUGAAAAGCACUUUGGAAAGAGAGUUAAACAGUACGUGAAAUUGUUGAAAGGGAAGCGCUUGCAACCAGACUUGGGCGCUGUCGAUCACCCCGAGUUCUCUCGAGUGCACUCGACAGCGCACAGGCCAGCAUCGGUUCGGGUGGCUGGAUAAAGGCCGUAGGAACGUGGCUCCCUUCGGGGAGUGUUAUAGCCUACGGUGCCAUGCAGCCCAGCCGGACCGAGGACCGCGCCUUCGGGCUAGGAUGCUGGCGUAAUGGUUGUAAGCGACCCGUCUUGAAACACGGACCAAGGAGUCUAACAUCUAUGCGAGUGUUUGGGUGGUAAACCCAUACGCGGAAUGAAAGUGAACGUAGGUGAGAACCCCUUUGGGGCGCAUCAUCGACCGAUC